AUUGAACGCUGGCGGCAUGCCUAACACAUGCAAGUCGAGCGAGCGGCGGACGGGUGAGUAAUGUCUGGGAAACUGCCUGUUGGAGUGGGAUAACUACUGGAAACGGUAGCUAAUACCGCAUACCAUCAGAUGUGCCCAGAUGGGAUUAGCUAGUAGGUGGGGUAACGGCUUACCUGGGCGACGAUCCCUCGCUGGGCUGAGCGGAUGACCAGGCACACUGGAAAGGGGACACGGGCCAGACGCCGACGGGAGGCAGCAGUGGGGGAUAUUGGACAAUGGGCGCAAGCCUGAUGCAGCCAUGGCGCGUGUGUGAAGAAGGCCUUCGGGUUGGAAAGCACGUUCAGCGGGGAGGCGUUACCCGCAGAAGAAGCACCGGCUAACUCCGGGCCAGCAGCCGCGGGAAUAC
rnacentral:rRNA from 1 species